GGUAUAUAGGUGGCUACCGUGGCAUUAAAGCGCCACUAAGGCAGACACGCUCGCGCUUUAGUGCUCCUCGGCGCGAGCGCGUUACACCGGCGACCGAUCGGACUCGGCCACGGGCGGAUUUAGCUCAGGGCUAGGCGAAAGUAUCGCCACGGCCGAUCGCGGUUGAUCUCUUCUGUCCUUCUUUCUCGCUCCUGUGAGUCGUUCGAAGGGCUGAAUGGUACGCGACACACUGAACGUCGCCGUGGAUCGUGACCUGUUCUGCCAACUAGGAAAAUUGCGAAGAUGGUUAUGAUGGUAAAGCAGAUUAUGAUGAAGGAGCUUCUGACUACAGUGAAAGAUAUACAUGGCAUAUAAACGAGUUGGAUUUUCUUUCAAGAGGAGAUUGGAUUAAGAGACAAAUGGGCCGUUCAGAAGCCACAUUGAUCAACUCUAUAACUUGAAAGGUGAUGGUGUUACGUCGGUGUCUUUUAA
rnacentral:misc_RNA from 1 species